GACGAGGCACUUGUGCCUAGUAGCAAAUGGGUGAGUAACACGUACUUAAUUUGCCCUUUAGAUUGGGACAACUAUUGGAAACGAUAGCUAAUACCGAAUAUUCUUGUUUACAUAAGUAAGCGUAGUAAAAGGGGCGUUUGCCCCACUAAAGGAUAAGAGUGCGUCAUAUUAGUUAGUUGGUAAGGUAAGAGCUUACCAAGACGAUGAUAUGUAGCGGGGUCGAGAGGCUGAACCGCCACACUGGGACUGAGAUACGGCCCAGACUCCUACGGGAGGCAGCAGUAAGGAAUAUUUCACAAUGAGCGAAAGCUUGAUGAAGCGACACAUCGUGCAGGAUGACGGCCCUUGGGUUGUAAACCGCUGUUGUAAGGGAAGAACAACAUUAGUAGGAAAUGAUUAAUGUCUGACGGUACCUUAUUAGAAAGCACCGGCAAACUAUGUGCCAGCAGCCGCGGUAAUACAUAGGGUGCAAGCGUUAUCCGGAAUUAUUGGGCGUAAAGCGUCUAUAGGUGGUUAAGAAAGUCUAAUGUUAAAGACCGGGGCUCAACCUCGGCACGCCUUGGAAACUCCUUAACUAGAAUUAUCGAGAGGUCGGCGGAACUCCAUGUGGAGCGGUGGAAUGCGUAGAUAUAUGGAAGAACACCAAUGGCGAAGGCAGCCGACUGGCGAUAAAUUGACACUAAGAGAC
rnacentral:rRNA from 1 species